CCUACGGGAGGCAGCAGUGGGGAAUAUUGGACAAUGGGGGGAACCCUGAUCCAGCCAUGCCGCGUGUGUGAAGAAGGCCCUCGGGUUGUAAAGCACUUUCAGUGAGGAAGAACGCCUGGUGGUUAAUACCCAUCAGGAAAGACAUCACUCACAGAAGAAGCACCGUCUAACUCCGUGCCAGCAGCCGCGGUAAUACGGAGGGUGCGAGCGUUAAUCGGAAUUACUGGGCGUAAAGCGCGCGUAGGUGGCUUGAUAAGCCGGUUGUGAAAGCCCCGGGCUCAACCUGGGAACGGCAUCCGGAACUGUCAAGCUAGAGUGCAGGAGAGGAAGGUAGAAUUCCCGGUGUAGAGGUGAAAUGCGUAGAGAUCGGGAGGAAUACCAGUGGCGAAGGCGGCCUUCUGGACUGACACUGACGCUGAGGUGCGAAAGCGUGGGUAGCAAACAGGAUUAGAUACCCUAGUAGUC
rnacentral:rRNA from 1 species